UCAUCAGGGAUGAGGUUCUUGUAGAAAUUUUGGGAUCAAUUUCUUUUGAAGCGAUGUUUUAUGUUGGUCUUGCAAUAUUCGUACUUGUAACUGAUCGAGUUCAGAGGCCAUAUCUGCAAUUUAGCCCAAAGAGGUGGGGUCUCAUUACAGGCCUUAAAGGAUACUUGACAUCAGCCUUCUUUGCUAUGGGCUUUAAGGUCAUCUUCCCUCUGUUGGUUGUGUAUGUAACUUGGCCAGUGCUUGGCCUACCUGCCUUGGUUUCUGUUUUUCCGUUCUUAGUUGGCUGCAUUGCUCAACGUGCUUUUGAGAUUCGUCUGGACCAGCGGAGAUCAUCUUGCUGGCCUUUAGUUCCUAUUAUAUUUGAGGUUUAUAGAAUAUAUCAAUUAACCAAAGCUGCUCAUUUUAUCGAGAAAUUAAUGUUGUCCAUGAGGGGGCUUCCUGAGUCUGCAGAGUUGUUGGAAAGAAACAACGCCUUAAUUGUUAUGAUAGUAACCUUCCAAGUUCUCGGUGUGGUUUGCCUCUGGUCAUUGUUAACCUUUUUCAUAAGGCUCUUUCCUUCUAGACCUGUAGCAGAGAACUAUUGAUGUUUGCAAUGGCUAUUGUAUAUUCUGUUCCUAUAGGUUUCGUGCUCAUUUAACAUCUGCACAGCACGAGAUAACUACAAGGUUGAUGAACGUAAGUUUAAUGAUUGUCAUCCGUUAUAAUUUCCGCUAAUCUUAGAUUACUAAACUAGGUUCAUUAAGCAAGUCCUGUCUUGGUUCCUUGGAAUCCGUUGUUAAGGAAGUACGAGUGCCAGUUUAGAGAAAGACUUGAA
rnacentral:misc_RNA from 1 species